rnacentral:rRNA from 1 species
CCCUUAGAUGUUCUGGGCCGCACGCGCGCUACACUGAUGAAUUCAACGAGUUUAGAACCUUGGCUGGGAAGCCUGGGUAAUCUUGUAAAUGUUCAUCGUGAUGGGGCUAGAUUAUUGCAAUUUUUAAUCUUAAACGAGGAAUUCCUAGUAAACGCAAGUCAUCAGCUUGCAUUGAUUACGUCCCUGCCCUUUGUACACACCGCCCGUCGCACCUACCGAUUGAAUGGUCCGGUGAAUUCUUCGGACUGUGGCGUUGGAUCGUUUUCGGACGAGACAUUGCUGUGGGAAGUUGAUUAAACCUUACCAUUUAGAGGAAGGUGAAGUCGUANCA